rnacentral:tRNA from 1 species
GCAGUGGUGGUUCAGUGGUAGACUAGUUGCCUUCCAUGCAGGAGAUCUGGGUGCAAUUCCUGGCUAGUGCA